UACGGAGGUGGCAAGCGUUGCUCGGAAUCACUGGGCGUAAAGGGCGCGUAGGCGGUCCAGUAAGCGGGUGGUGAAAGCUCGGGGCUCAACCCCGAGUCGGCCGUGCGAACUGCUGGACUGGAGCACUGUAGAGGCAGGUGGAAUUCCGGGUGUAGCGGUGGAAUGCGUAGAGAUCCGGAAGAACACCAGGGGCGAAGGCGGCCUGCUGGGCAGUGGCUGACGCUGAGGCGCGACAGCGUGGGGAGCAAACAGG
rnacentral:rRNA from 1 species